rnacentral:rRNA from 1 species
UACGGGGGGGGCAAGCGUUGUUCGGAAUUACUGGGCGUAAAGGGCUCGUAGGUGGCCAACUAAGUCAGACGUGAAAUCCCUCGGCUUAACCGGGGAACUGCGUCUGAUACUGGAUGGCUUGAGUUUGGGAGAGGGACGCGGAAUUCCAGGUGUAGCGGUGAAAUGCGUAGAUAUCUGGAGGAACACCAAUUGCGAAGGCAGCUCGCUGGGACGUUACUGACGCUGAGACGCGAAAGCGUGGGGAGCAAACAGG